AUGCGUUUUGUGCGGCGCAUCCAGGAGUCUGAGGUGAAGGAGGCUUUAAAAAGGAUGAAAGGAGGCAAGGCGAUGGGCCCUGAUUGUAUCCCCAUUGAGGUGUGGAAAGGUCUCGGGGACAUAGCGAUAGUAUGGCUAACCAAGCUUUUCAACCUCAUUUUUCGGGCAAACAAGAUGCCAGAAGAAUGGAGACGGAGUAUAUUAGUACCAAUCUUCAAGAACAAGGGGGAUGUUCAGAGUUGUACUAAUUACCGUGGAAUUAAGCCGAUGAGCCAUACAAUGAAGCUAUGGGAGAGAGUCAUUGAGCACCGCUUAAGAAAAAUGACAAGCGUGACCAAAAAUCAGUUUGGUUUCAUGCCUGGGAGGUCGACCAUGGAAGCCAUUUUCUUGUUACGACAACUUAUGGAGAGAUAUAGGGAGCAUAAGAAGGACUUGCAUAUGGUGUUCAUUGACUUGGAGAAGGCCUAUGAUAAGAUACCGCGGAAUGUCAUGUGGUGGGCCUUGGAGAAACACAAAGUCCCAGCAAACAUGUACAAUAAUGUUGUGACAAGUGUUCGAACAAGUGAUGUCGACACCGAUGACUUCCCGAUUAAGAUAUGA
rnacentral:rRNA from 1 species